rnacentral:rRNA from 1 species
AUUGAACGCUGGCGGCAGGCCUAACACAUGCAAGUCGAACGAGUGGCGGACGGGUGAGUAAUGUCUGGGAAACUGCCCGAUGGAGGGGGAUCACUACUGGAAACGGUAGCUAAUACCGCAUACCAUCGGAUGUGCCCCGAUGGGAUGAGCUAGUGGGUGGGGUAACGGCUCACCUAGGCGACGCCCCCUAGCUGGUCUGAGAGGAUGACCAGCGACACUGGAACGGAGACACGGUCCAGACUCCUACGGGAGGCAGCAGUGGGGAAUAUUGCACAAUGGGCUCAAGCCUGAUGCAGCCAUGCCGCGUGUAUGAAGAAGGCCUUCGGGUUGUAAAGUACUUUAAGCGGGGAGGCGUUACCCGCAGAAGAAGCACAGGCUAACUCCGUGCCAGCAGCCGCGGUAAUAC